GUAUGGUUAAGUGACUAAGCGUACAGGGCGGAUGCCUUGGCAAUCAGAGGCGAUGAAGGACGUGCUAAUCUGCGAAAAGCUUGGAUGAGUCGAUAAGAGGCGUUUAAUCCAAGAUGUCCGAAUGGGGAAACCCAGUAGAUGAAGAAUCUACUAUCAAUAAAUGAAUACAUAGUUUAUUGAGGCGAACCGGGAGAACUGAAACAUCUAAGUACCCCGAGGAAAAGAAAUCAACCGAGAUUCUGUGAGUAGCGGCGAGCGAAAGCGGAAGAGCCAGUAAGUUUUAGCUAGCAUAUUAGAGGAAUUGGCUGGGAAGCCAAAUCAAAGAGGGUGAUAAUCCCGUACUCGAAAGUAUGUUAGUGGAACUAAGCUUACGAUAAGUAAGGCGGGACACGAGAAAUCCUGUUUGAAGAUGGGGGGACCAUCCUCCAAGGCUAAAUACUCCUGAUUGACCGAUAGUGAACCAGUACUGUGAAGGAAAGGCGAAAAGAACCCCGGUGAGGGGAGUGAAAUAGAACCUGAAACCCUGUACGUACA
rnacentral:rRNA from 1 species